rfam:Schistosoma haematobium scaffold60_55, whole genome shotgun sequence.
GUCCAACUGACGAGUUCCAAAUAGGACGAAACACGCGUCCUGGAU